rnacentral:misc_RNA from 1 species
CAAAUCAGUAAUCAAUGCAGUACAAUUCCUACUCAGUUUUUAGUGAAAAAUCAAACCAAAACCAAAUCAAUAGUUCAAUGUAAUUCCAAUCAAUAUAAUUCUUCGAUUCAGUUCGAAAAUGUGCAUACCCCCUCUUUCUCAUGUCAUGUCAUGAUCAAAAUGAGAGGUUUUACAUUCAAGAAAGGUAUUGCAGCAAAUAAAACUAUCCAACCAGUGAGAUGAUACGUAAUAGAUACCAAUUAAUCCUAACUUGUAUUAGUUUAAAACUCCAAGCGCUCAUUGGGUGCGCACUGGUGUGCCCCGAAAUGGGAACCUCUUUACCUUAGUGAUAAUAUGAAAGUUGUAAGUGAUAAUAUGAAAGUUGCCUCUGGAGAAACAAGCCCCCUCUUCAGAAGGGACGCAACACAAGGGCGUACAGGAAAUGAUCUUCUGCACCAGAAAUGGCCCUCCCGGCUUAAUGGGAAUUGAUUAUUUUGAAAUUCUAAUCUAUGAAACAGAAUAGACUUUUACUACUUUGGUAGUAUCACAGACAACAAGAUUUUCUGAUUCAGUCGGAGUGGUACAUAGCCAAUUUACCUUUUUGCUCAAAUUGAUGUUAUGAUGAAGAAUAUUGUCAUUGCUACCACUUUGCCCAACAUCAAGAUAUCUGGAGCAUUCCCAUACCUUCACUGACUUGUCAUUUCCACCUGUAAUUAUAAACUUCCCCCUCUCUCCAAACAGUGAGAAUGCCACACAGGACACAGCAGCAACAUGGCCACCCAAAGUGUAAUCCAAAUGCAACCUCUUUCCUUCUGUGCCUGGAGUUGUAAUACUGCCUUUAGACGUUGAUUGAGAUCCUUCGUGAGCUUUGGUGGUACUUUUUGACCUAGUAGCAGCAAGCUCUGAUUCAAUGUUGAUCACAUCAACGGCCCCAUCACCCCUACCAACAAUGCAUACAUUGCCUGACUUGUCUAACAUAUCAGCAUCUGGAACUGCUAUUGCAUGAACAAACGCAGGAUUGAAACACUGUGCCAUGCUGCUUCCCUUCAUUUCAGGCAAACCAAAAUCUACAAUUUUGAUUGGGCGCCCGUUGGAAAAGUCCCACAUGACAAGCUUUGAGUCGAGUCCUCCAGUAAUCACUGCCAAAAUUGUACUAGUGGUCAAUAUACCCUGGAACAAGAAAGCUUGUAGUAGAAGCAAGAAUAAUCACCAUUAACAAAGCUAAUAAAGGAUUCAAAAUUCCAUGUAGUAGCAUCAUUCUCAUGCACUUCCAUCACACACCAGGUCAAUAGACUAUAGGUUCAUACUUUGUAUGGUCUUAACAAAAAAUGGGCACCUACUCUAAAUUCUCUAGAAACUUGAAAUAGCUUGUCCUUGGGAAUACCACCUCUUCUCCUCGUCUAUUUUCCUUCACUGGUUGGUCUUUGACUCCAUCAUAUAACAGACCAAUUUGGCAGGUCAGUUACCUUGUUACAUAUUUCUAUAGGUGUUAUGUUGAAGAAAUGAAGCACGAAAAUCACUGUUCAAGCAGAUGAAUGUAUAGUGUAAUAUUCAACAUGCUAAAGUACCCAAAAUUAAUAGCCGUCAAAUCACUUCAUUACUCUGAUCACUGAUGCUAUAUGUGAACAUAUGCAUGAUUGUGCUUAGCAAGAACACAUGCAGUGUAUGCAUCUUAGAAUAAAGAGGGUGGGGAGAGGGAUGGAGAUCUUCAAACCAAAAGAAAUAAGAGCUCAAACAAAUACCUCCCCAAGGUCUCCAAGGAAUGAACUGAACACUGCUACAAAUCUAAAGCACGGUUAAGUGUCACUAAAGGUUGCAGAAUUUAACAGGGAAUUAGCCAGAAGCUGGGGCACACUAUGGAAAAAAGACAUAGCUUAAAGCUUUUGAGAAAUCAAGCACGCACUUCAUACUCAUGCAUACAUUUAAAGUCAAUUCAAAACUUAGUGUCAAAUAAUAAGGAAGGAUACGCUUGUAUGACCAGCUCUCAGUGUUUUAUAAAGGCAAUGCUGAUGCAUGUCAAUAAUCUGCCACGAAGAUUACAUUACCAGCUGUUAAUCUUCGAAAAUGCAAACUUGACAUCACCACUAUCAUCUGCAGAAGCAAGAAAUGUUGACUUUGAGUUGCAAGCAAUCUGAUUUAUUUCCUCCUUAUUGUAAUUGUAACUUUGCAACAGCCUCUGUGAAGUAGCCAUAUUCAUAUCAAAACACUUGACUUCGUUUCCUGAGCAAAUGUAAAUAAUGUCUUCAUUUCCUGAAAAAUUCAAUAAUCAUUUGACAAAGAAGGAAGGAGACAAAAACUCACUUUUCAAAAUGCACCAAGAAUAAAUUGCAGAUAGACAACACUUAUAGAAAUAUUCCCAUUCAAGUUUGAACUGUAACCAAACACCCCCUAUAGCCCUUUUUGCUAAAUUAUAGCCUUCUACUUCUAGGACUUCAUACACGCAACUAAAAGAUUCUUCAAAAUAUGCAAAUUCCUUUUCUUUUUUGAUUUGUAGAAACGGAAAAGGAAGCAAGUGCUCAAACUCCAGCCUAACUGAUGGCACUGUGGGGCAGGUAUGCAACCGCCAGUGGCUAUACCCAUAUAUACUAUCUAAACAGAUUGCAUUUAUGUCAUUCAUAUUUAUACAAAUGCAAGUUAACCAAACGAAUGAGAGCUCACCUGGCAUGAAACACAAUGAAGAAAUAGGUUCCUGGCCAACCUGCAUAACAAGUUGUGCUUCUUUGCAUCGCAUAUCAAACCAGCAAACGCAACCAUCCUCACCGGCGGUGGCAACGACGCCAGGACGGACACGUGAGGCGGUACAGCAAGUUGCGGUGGCUUUGUGACCUCUCAAGCGUCUCGGCUCCGACAUGGCUGCUUCUUUUUACCCUUUUCCCUCGAUCAAUCAAUGGUUUGGUUGCCCGUCUCACUCUUCCCUCUUCGGGUUGUGCCUUUUUUCUUCGUUGCCACCUGCCAAGUGCUGCCGCGAGCAGUGCAACUGGGCUCAUAGCGGACUGGGUUGGGCCGACUUUGGGCUUGAACCCGGUUAGCAAAUUUGUUGCCAUAGAAUUUCUAGAGUCCUUCCACAUGAAUUGUUGAAUUUUUCGUUGGACAGGUGCCCUAUAAGUACUCUUCCACGCAGAUUGAGGGGCAACCGAAGAUGAUUGACCAGCACAUAAUGUAAAUCAGCGUCAGCUUUAAGCACGUGAUGAGCUGAUUUAGCUGUUCAUGGGAAGGCUAUAGAUUAUUGUUGAACUCCAUUAUAAAAUAGGGAUGAGAGGCUUUUGAUGGGCAACUCAUUGGGCUCCAAAUGAGGCAGAUAUCAUAGAAGGCGCGAUUGGGACACCAAAGAAACCCACCACUACGGUCCUUAACCGAAUUUUGCGAUGUCAUAUGGCUUCCUCGCUUUGAUUGGCCUGAGUUCUUGUGUUUUGUGGGUGAUGGAUCUAGCCAAACUCUGUUAUUUUCAGCAUUAUGUGGCUAAGGUUCUGCAAUGUUGUUGUCUUGGGGACCUCUACAACUUGACUCAACUUUUGGGGCGUUUGUUUGGGAAAGUAGUAGUUAUUUUUGCUGUGUUGUGUGUCAUUUGAUUUGGCUUAACGGAAUUUGAUCGCCGAUGAUGGUUUUGAGCAGUCCCUUGCAGCAUGCAUCUCUUGUUGCUAGUAGUUUGAUUAUUGGGUCGAUCUAGGAUUCUUAGCUAGUGAGCUGGUUUCUUUUUUUGUGUUGGUAGCUAUGUGUAAGAUCCCUUUUCUUUUAGACUUUGGUUGUAUUUUUAAGGGGUUUGGACCUUCUUUGAUUCUUCAUGUACUAGGCCUCAAGGAUUUUAAUGUAAUAUAUGAUUGUCUUUAAC